GACGACAUUCAAAUCAUUACCAGGCAUCGUAAUCAAAAUUGUGGCAAGUAAUUUUUACCCACCGACCAACUUCAAAUAAAUUUCACAAUGUGUAACCGAAUGGGAAUAAUCAAUCAAUUACAAUCUAUUAUGUCAUCGAUUCAAUGUAAUUGCAGCGGCUAUUCUGCCCCUUGCUGUGCCCCCAAAUGUGCACCCUCGUGCUGCAACGGAAGCGGAUCAUUAGUCACAGUUUACAGUCAAGUAGCACAUAUCCAGUGACAAUAGAUUCAUACACAUGCAAUCCUCGCUGUAGGCCAGCCUCCGCGACCGAUAGCGGCGUUCGACAAAGCAACAAUAGCAUUGGGCCAUCACGAUGUUACUUGUGUACAAAAUUUCUGAUAUUCUGAAUAUUUUAAGAAAUUAUAGUAUUUAUUUCAAUUUUUAUCGUGAAGUAAUUGUUUUUGAGCAUAACGAUAUGGAAAAUUAAUCUUACUAGCUUAACUUUGAAGAAAAAAAAAUGUGAUUAUGUAAAUGAUUGUGUUUAUAUAAUUUUAACAUUUGUCAUGCAAAACGUAGCUAAAGUGAAGAUUAAGUAAAUAAUAUUGAUGGU